rnacentral:rRNA from 1 species
AGGUGGAGGACUAACACAUGCAAGUCGAGCGCGCCCUUCGGGGUGAGCGGCGGACGGGUUAGUAACGCGUGGGAAUAUACCCGACACUAAGGAAUAGCCUCUGGAAACGGAGAGUAAUACCUUAUACGCCCUUCGGGGGAAAGAUUUAUCGGUGACGGAUUAGCCCGCGUUAGAUUAGAUAGUUGGUGGGGUAAUGGCCUACCAAGUCUACGAUCUAUAGCUGGUUUUAGAGGAUGAUCAGCAACACUGGGACUGAGACACGGCCCAGACUCCUACGGGAGGCAGCAGUGGGGAAUCUUGGACAAUGGGCGCAAGCCUGAUCCAGCCAUGCCGCGUGAGUGAUGAAGGCCUUAGGGUCGUAAAGCUCUUUCGCCAGAGAUGAUAAUGACAGUAUCUGGUAAAGAAACCCCGGCUAACCCCGUGCCAGCAGCCGCGGUAAUACGGAGGGGGUUAGCGUUGUUCGGAAUUACUGGGCGUAAAGCGCGCGUAGGCGGAUUAGUAAGUUAGAGGUGAAAUCCCGGGGCUCAACCCCGGAACUGCCUUUAAUACUGCUAGUCUUGAGUUCGAGAGAGGUGAGUGGAAUUCCGAGUGUAGAGGUGAAAUUCGUAGAUAUUCGGAGGAACACCUGUGGCGAAGGCGGCUCACUGGCUCGAUACUGACGCUGAGGUGCGAAAGUGUGGGGAGCAAACAGGAUUAGAUACCCUGGUAGUCCACACCGUAAACGAUGAAUGCCAGUCGUCGGGUAGCAUGCUAUUCGGUGACACACCUAACGGAUUAAGCAUUCCGCCUGGGGAGUACGGUCGCAAGAUUAAAACUCAAAUGAAUUGACGG